rnacentral:misc_RNA from 1 species
CGCACAUUGCACUCCUUGGUAUUCCGGGGAGUAUGCUUGUUCGAGCGUCAUUUCACCUCUCAAGCGUAAGCUUGGUAUUGGACAUUAUCUUGGCUGAUAUGUCUGAAAAACAGUGGCGAUAUAUAAAGUAUUCAGACGCAGUGAAAUAUAUUCGUUUUGAAGCUUUAUAUGUCUGCUUUCAAUUAUAUACAAUACUUUGACCUCGGAUCAAGUAGGGAUACCCGCUGAACUUAA